rnacentral:rRNA from 1 species
CCUACGGGAGGCAGCAGUGGGGAAUAUUGCACAAUGGGGGGAACCCUGAUGCAGCGACGCCGCGUGAGCGAAGAAGUACCUCGGUAUGUAAAGCUCUAUCAGCAGGGAAGAAAAUGACGGUACCUGACUAAGAAGCCCCGGCGAAAUACGUGCCAGCAGCCGCGGUAAUACGGAUGGGGCAAUCGUGAUCCGGAUUUACUGGGUGUAAAGGGAGCGUAGGCGGCCUGCCAAGCCUGUUGUGAAAACCCGGGGCCCAACCCCGGGCCUGCAUUUGAAACUGUGGGGCUGGAGUGUCGGAGGGGCAGGCGGAAUUCCUGGUGUAGCGGUGAAAUGCGUAGAUAUUAGGAGGAACGCCGGUGGCGAAGGCGGCCUGCUGGACGAUGACUGACGCUGAGGCUCGAAAGCGUGGGGAGCGAACAGGAUUAGAUACCCCUGUAGUC